AACGAACGCUGGCGGCAUGCCUAACACAUGCCAGUCGAACGAGACCUUCGGGUCUAGUGGCGCACGGGUGCGUAACGCGUGGGAACCUGCCCUUAGGUUCGGAAUAACUCCCCGAAAGGGGUGCUAAUACCGGAUAAUGUCUUCGGACCAAAGAUUUAUCGCCUUUGGAUGGGCCCGCGUUGGAUUAGCUAGUUGGUAGGGUAAAAGCCUCCCAAGGCGACGAUCCAUAGCUGGUCUGAGAGGAUGAUCAGCCACACUGGGACUGAGACACGGCCCAGACUCCUACGGGAGGCAGCAGUGGGGAAUAUUGGACAAUGGGCGAAAGCCUGAUCCAGCAAUGCCGCGUGAGUGAUGAAGGCCUUAGGGUUGUAAAGCUCUUUUACCCGGGAUGAUAAUGACAGUACCGGGAGAAUAAGCUCCGGCUAACUCCGUG
rnacentral:rRNA from 1 species